rnacentral:rRNA from 1 species
CCACCAUAAUCCGUUAUGAGCGAUGGGGUGACGCAGGAGGGUAGUGACGCGGGGCGAUGGAAUGCCCCGUCCAAGCAGUGAGGCUGGUGUGUAGGCAAAUCCGCACACCGUAAGGCUGGGCUGUGAUGGGGAGGGAAAAUUUACAGUACCGAAGGUCAUGAUCUCACACUGCCGAGAAAAGCCUCUAGCCAGGAGAAGGUGCCCGUACCGCAAACCGACACAGGUAGGCGAGAAGAGAAUUCUAAGGCGCGCGGAAGAACUCUCGUUAAGGAACUCGGCAAAAUGACCCCGUAACUUCGGGAGAAGGGGUGCCCCGGUAGAGUGAAUAGCUCGAGGGGGCCGCAGUGAAAAGGCCCAAGCGACUGUUUAGCAAAAACACAGGUCUGUGCGAAGCCGCAAGGCGAAGUAUACGGGCUGACGCCUGCCCGGUGCUGGAAGGUUAAGGGGAGCGGUUAGGGGUUAAACCCGAAGCUGUGAACCGAAGCCCCAGUAAACGGCGGCCGUAACUAUAACGGUCCUAAGGUAGCGAAAUUCCUUGUCAGGUAAAUUCUGACCCGCACGAAUGGCGUAACGACUUGGGCGCUGUCUCAACGAGAGAUCCGGUGAAAUUUUAAUACCUGUGAAGAUGCAGGUUACCCGCGACAAGACGGAAAGACCCCAUGGAGCUUUACUGCAGCUUGAUAUUGGACUUUGAUACGAUUUGUACAGGAUAGGUGGGAGCCUAGGAAGUGGGAGCGCAAGCUUCCAUGGAGGCGACGUUGGGAUACCACCCUGAUCGUAUCGGAGUUCUAACCCAGUACCGUAAGCCGGUACGGGGACCGUGUCAGGCGGGCAGUUUGACUGGGGCGGUCGCCUCCUAAAGAGUAACGGAGGCGCCCCAAGGUUCCCUCAGAAUGGUUGGAAAUCAUUCGUAGAGUGCAAAGGCAAAAGGGAGCUUGACUGCGAGACUGACAAGUCGAGCAGGGACGAAAGUCGGGCUUAGUGAUCCGGUGGUACCGCAUGGAAGGGCCAUCGCUCAACGGAUAAAAGCUACCCUGGGGAUAACAGGCUUAUCUCCCCCAAGAGUCCACAUCGACGGGGAGGUUUGGCACCUCGAUGUCGGCUCAUCGCAUCCUGGGGCUGAAGUAGGUCCCAAGGGUUGGGCUGUUCGCCCAUUAAAGCGGUACGCGAGCUGGGUUCAGAACGUCGUGAGACAGUUCGGUCCCUAUCUGUCGUGGGCGCAGGAAAUUUGAGAGGAGCUGUCCUUAGUACGAGAGGACCGGGAUGGACGCACCGCUGGUGUACCAGUUGUUCCGCCAGGAGCACAGCUGGGUAGCUAAGUGCGGACGGGAUAAGCGCUGAAAGCAUCUAAGCGUGAAGCCCCCCUCAAGAUGAGAUUUCCCAAUUAGUAAGACCCCUUGAAGACGACGAGGUUGAUAGGCCUGAGGUGGAAGUGCAGCAAUGCAUGGAGCUGACAGGUACUAAUCGGUCGAGGGCUUAUCCAAAC